CCCUUAGAUGUUCUGGGCCGCACGCGCGCUACAAUGAUGAAUUCAACGAGUUUAUAACCUUGGUUGAAAAGCCUGGGUAAUCUUUUGAACUUUCGUCGUGAUGGGGCUAGACCCUUGCAAUUAUUGGUCUCCAACGAGGAAUUCCUAGUAAACGCAAGUCAUCAGCUUGCAUUGAUUACGUCCCUGCCCUUUGUACACAUUGUCCGUCGCACCUACCGAUUGAAUGGUCCGGUGAAAUCUUCGGAUUGAGACUUUGUUUUCUUCACGGAAAACGCUGUUUUAAAAAGUUGAUUAAACCUUACCAUUUAGAGGAAGGUGAAGUCGUAACA
rnacentral:rRNA from 1 species